UGUUCUGGUAUUUGAUGCAGGUUGUUCUUAUAUUUUUGCUCUUUGGCUGAGCUCUGUCUUUAGAUGUGGGCUCUGCUGCAAAGAUGAGGCUGUGUCUGCACAUGUUUUUAUAACUAGGUUGUUUUGUGAUACUGGGAGUCUUAAAAUAGCUGAGCAAUAUGAUAUCCUCUCACAUUCUUUUCUGAAGCUGAUGCAUAUGUAGUGGGAUCACAUAUUUUUUUAUAUAAUUUAUCAGCGAAGCAGGGAAACUGUCUGAAAAUAAUCUCAAGUACACCUCCACCCACACAAAAAAACCCCAAAACCAAACCCCCCCCCCCCCAAAACCCAAUACAACAACAAGAAAACACAAACCCACAACAAAACAACACAAAAACAACAACAAAAAACCCCACUCUGAAAAAUAGGGACAUUCCAUGGAAAAAAAGUCAGUUCUGAAAAAACCCCCGAAAACCUCAACUCACCUGAUUUUCUUUUCCCCACUGGAAAUAUUAAACCAGGAAUUCCCAGCUCCAUUUUGCCUGGAUGAUGAGGGUAGCCAGAUCUCUCAGAUGUGGGCAGGUCUCCAUUGCUGAUACCUAGUAACACACCACUUGGCCCAUGUUGCCAAAUAGUGCAAGCUGCCACCCUUCAUUUCCAUGCUAAGGCAAUUUACUCUGGUUUAUGGCAUGAAAAUUUUCUUCAUCAAAUGUCUCAGUGAAAAUGGCUACUUUUCUCCUCAUUUAUGGGAAGAUAUGUUAUUUUCUAGAGAGCUGUCUGUAACUUGGUGAACUGCACAGCUCUAACAGAUGUCUUUUACUCCUUGACAGCUGUGAUCCUCACAACUGCUCCCCUAGAUUUGGUCUCAACAUGAAAGUGGAAAAUACUCUUCAAGGCAGGGUUUUUGUGUUCUUGCUCUAAAGCACUUUUUGUAAAACCUUGCUUAAAAAGUAAUGUUUUGGUUUGGUAUACUAGGUGUAAAAUGUUUGGUAAACAGAGAUAUUCUUUUUUCAUACUAUUCCUGCUGCCCACGAAGCACAACUGAGUUUAUCCCCACAUGUAGACAAUUUCAGACUACCAGGAUAUUUUAGUUAUGACAUAUGAAUAUAUUCAAUGAUUGAUUGUUUCACAGGCAUUGAGUAACUGAUUCAGUUACUGCUAAAAAUGAGCAGAGGCAACAAAGGACAUAUGAACUCUUUUGGCUAUUAGCAGUAGCUACCUUUGGAUGAUGCUCUGUUUGCAUAUUGUGAAAAGUCUACUCUUUCUGAUAACUUCAUCUGGCAGUAUGCGUCCUCAGAACUUGCUGUGAAUAUGGUGCUCGGUGUGCGAGAACCGUCCGUGAAUCAUUGGCCUGUGGCCGGCCUUUGGCAGCCGAGACACAAGAGCAGGCUAUGGGAACAGGAACUUUCCAAGAUAAAAGGGAACAAGACUAGUUACAAUAGAGCUCGAGGGCCAGGCAUGCUGCCAACUGCCCAGUCAAGGAGAGAUAGAGGUCAUGAAGACUAUGAUAGGAGGAAAUAACAACCCCGGAAGAGAGCAGCGACCCCCGGAGUGCUCCUGGCACAGGCACGCUCCAGUCCAUCAUCAUGCUGCAAAAGUGCAGAUGUGAAAAUUUGGAAAUCCCUCCUUCUGGCGUGUGAUGGUCACAUACAUCAGAAUGAGACUGAUGAAUGCAAACUCCCCAGAUAAAAUGCCUGAGCCUGUGUGUUGGGACGAGGCACUCAGAACACUGAGGACCAUGUUGCCUCUGCAGGGAUGCCUGCUAAGUGUUUUGCCUGCCGAACCUCGUCAUGACCAGACUUGGAGCUGGACUCCUUGCCUUCCAAACACUUCUUCUGGGAUUAAAACUCUUCCAAACUUGUCAUCAUCCUGGACUCUGUGUAGCUUUUUUGGUUUUACAUAUACAAUGAGGUCACUCUGCUGUUCUCUGCUUUGAUAUUCUUCAGCAUGUCUCCACAAGCAGUUUUAAGCUGGGCCACAAGUCUCUUGAAGGACUCCGCUCCAUCCUGGGCCUUCCACGGGGGUGACAAGUGACAGGACGAAGGAAAUGGCCUCCAGCUGCAGCAAGGGAGAAAAGAAUUUCUUCAUGGAAAGGGUUGUAGAGCACUGGAAUGCGCUGCCCAGUGAAGUGAUGGACUCACCAUGCCUGAAAGCAUUCAAAAAGCUUGGGCAUAUGAUGCUUGAGGACAUGGUUUCAACAUGAACAUGUGCUAUGUUGAUGAUUGGACUUGAUGAUCUUAAAGGUCUCUUUCCAACCUUAAGGAUUCUAUGAGUUUCAGGCAGACUUUGCUGGCCUCCGCUCCUUGGAGGUGGGAAAUUUUAGCCAACAAUGCAGGAAAGUAUUUUAAUGCUGAAUAGAACAGCCUAAGUUUGAAGAGGCAGAGGUUUCAUCAACACCGUUCUUCUCCUAAAAUCCCUGCUGUAACAACAAAUUGAGGUCUCUUUUGCAGCAGCCUUCUGGAAAUACCUGAGCUCCAGAGGCAUCACCAUACUCACUGAUCUCUGUUUCUCAAGCACACACAACCAAAACAUGCUUUAGUUCCCAGAAACAAACUCUCAUGUCACGCUUUAUGUUUCACAGAGGAGAUUUCACAGAUUUUGAAAGACUUCCAAAGCAGUAGAGUAGUCAGUUUGGGUUUUUUUCUGAACUCUUGAUUGGAAUGUCUAGACCAGGUUUCUACACUUCCCAACAAUCAUAAAAUUAUCUCAACAAAACACUGUACAAACAUGACUCUCUUUCAUCUGGAAAGAGGAGUCUGGAAAGCUGAACUUCUGUCUGCAACUUCUGAAUCUCCACUUGCAAUAAACACCAUGAUUUUUGCUAGUGAGCAUUGCAAAUGGCAGAAGUACAUAAAGAAAACUGGUACCCUGAACUUAUAUUGAUCCAAAUGUCUUAUAGCAGUUUAAAAUGAGUCCUGUCCUGGCUGCAGCACUGCUUUGAGAAAUGAUAUUGAGCUUUGUGCAUGAUUAAUGGAAGGAGCAUCCAAUGGUGCAUCUAAACUCUGAUGGAGGAGCAAAGAGGUAAAUAAGGCUCAUUAUGCCUGUCAAGUAAAGGUAGUUGUUAGGGAUGUGACAGGCUAAAACCAACAUAGUCUACAUAAAGAAAAAAAUACCCUUGUAGUUUGGACAGGAGAAAGUAUUAUUUUACAAGAUUGCCUUCUUGUAUCUGUUAUCCCUGUUUUGGAGUCAACAGUAUUACUGCAAUUUUUUCUUAGUGAGUAGUUCAGCAUCUCCUGGAGUCUUAGAAAGAGCUUCUGAACACAUGAAAUAUUUGGUGCCCUGGUUCUCAAGAAGAGUAUUUUUCUGUUUUGAAGAGCUUUGAGGUCUCAACCUGAAAAAUUCUGCAAUUCUUUUUUCAAGAAAAAGUUUUUCGAAAAUCAAUAAUUCAACAAACUGGAAAGGCAGGCUGCCAGGGUUAUUCAGCUAUAGCUCUUGUGUUGGUCAGGCAGACUGACAUGAGCGGUGGCAUAGCUGCUUGGGCAUGGUUUGCAGAUUGUCUGUGGUGGUGCAGGACUAAUUUUGGGAUGAAAGACUGUGGGGGUUGAGGACCACGAAGAAGAACAGUAUCAGAGAUGGAAGAAAGCAUUACAGGAAUCCAUAGAAGAGGAAGAUGAAGUUUCAACAUAAAGGACUUUCAGCAAAUGAAAUGGACUGAUGCAUGAAUGCACAGGUUUUGAUGUUUGUUGUAUUCUCCUACUUUGUACUCCUACAUUUUUAUGAAAAAUCCCCUCAGGUUGUUUACUUCUUUUACCGUCAUGUUCUAAUUGGUUGUCAGCUGCCACAGUGUAGAUGUUCCAUAUAAGGUCAUGCCUCUCCCCUUAAUCCCUUAUAGAGAUGUAACCUCUCCUUGUUCUCCCUAUUAAAGCAAGUUCCCUUCUUCUCUUUCCCUAUAUGUCAUGUUCACAUCCCCAGUUCCAGAAUGUUCCUUUCCGCUGCUAUAUAAAGGGGAAACCAUUUUAAUAAAGAGCUUGCUUACUCACUUACUCCAGGACCUACAUACCUACAACGAACCCUGAGUGUCCCUUAUUUCCCCACCGGGCCAUAACAAAAGACCCCACUGGGAGCCGAGGAGAAGAAAUGGCUGUUCAAUUUUAAAACUAGCCCUGAUGUGGGUUUGCUAUAUAGAGACAUCAGUGUUGACAUGUAACCUGAGGUGGGGAGGAAGGACUGCUAAAUGCAGUUUGACAACGUAAUAUGCUCUUGUGUAAGCAAAAAGGAAUAUGUUCAACCCUCAAAAAUAACCACGCAGUCCAUGAAAAGACAACGUGAAUUUACAAAUAUAAGUGAGAGAGCAGUUGAACUGAGGUAUUGGAGUUAUGCCAUCUACUCAGAGUUUUUUCUCUGCUUGAUUACUCUUGAUCUUCCAUUGAAAUUUGCCUGGAGUGUGCACAGUGGGGCUGUGAAAGGGGAGAUGAGCAAAUCCCAUCUUCCUGAUGGAGGUGUCAGCCCCUGUUGGGCUGUUUGGUGAAUGGGUCUUCAGCUGAGGACUCCCACAGUUAUUGCCCAACACAACUCUUAUUCUGUAUGUCUCUGCACCUGUUCUAACCCCCUAGACAACAGAAAUGGCAUUGUCUCGUCUAGCGAAUGCAUGGCUUACCAGCACAAGGCAACUGGAAGCUGGGCAGCAGUGUACUCUGUAAACCAUUGUUGGAGAAGUGCAAAGGGAUUGCUCAUGUGCCAAAAAAUUCCAAGCAUCCCAAGGAAGCUUCUCCAGCAACAUGCAAGGACGCAGUCUCCGAGCUUAUGUGCCCUUAUUGUAUGCACCAGCAGUAACCACCCUGCCAUUAUCUAUUUUUGUUGCAUAUGUGCAAGGAAAUGCUCAAUACCUUUUGAAUAUUGUGGUUUACACCAGCAUUAUUCACGUCUUUUCCCAGGCCUCUAUAAGCUGGGAAAGUCACCUUGUGUCCAACCAAUAGCGGGUGUAUCCUGCUUCAGCUUUUGUCAGGGAGCCAGCAUUUCAUCUCUCAGCAGGCACAUUGCAGUCACAUAAUGGAGGCAGGAACUCAGCUGAAAUAAAGCAAUGCUGAAAGCUUGUCAGAAAUGUAAAUGAUAUUGCACCUAUUGUCAGUGAUGUAUCCUCCAUUGUUCUCACAGUUGUUUCCCAGCUGAAAAAAUGCUGGGGAGCCUGCAUGAUGAAAUCAGAGACUCUUUACUGUAACAUGCUCUGUCAGGAACAGCUAACUGAUCUCAUACUACAAGAAGCAUACAUCUGUGGAAAGGAAAAUUGAGUACUGAAACCCCGUGUUCGUAGUGCUGCAAAGCUGCAGUCUCAAAAUUUCCUCUGGCUGUGUCAGUAUCACAGGGAAGACUGAAAAUGCAAUUUACCUCAGUCGGGGGAAAGGUGGUUCCUGCUGAUCUGUGCUGGAAGUGAAGGUAGAAGGAUCUCACGAGGUUUGUUCCAGAAGAGGAAGGAUUGCUCGGCAUGGGAAAGAGAAAGAACAGGAAUAAAGACAAGAGCCAAGCAAAGAAAAACUCUAACCCCAGGAAGUUCACAAGGGAUUUCUGCAUAAAGUUUGUUUAGCUGUCAUUAAAUAAUAGAAACCUGAAAAAUGGUGGGUUUUAGAAACUGAGAAUAAAUACCUGGUAUGUCAACAGAUGAGUUACUGAGAGGUGAGAUGACAUUUUCUGCAAAUAUGUUACUUUCAGGCACCUUACUGUGAAUAUUUUGCUCUAUUUCAGUAGUGUGAUACAAUCAUUUCCCACAAUGCUUAUAACACAGGCCUCUGUCAUGAGCACAGGGCUUGCUCGUCUGUAUGAAUUUGGCUGAGACUGACCACAGAAGAGAGCCUAACUCAGAAUUUUCCAAAUGUGAACUCGGAGGUGUUGGACAUGCUUCUUAUGCUGAAAAAAUAGGAAAGUACUUACUGAACUUACUGAACAUGUUUUUGCAAUAGUUCUUGUUGAAGUGACAAGUGUUUUGAUCUUUGUGUUUUUAAACCAUUUAAACUCAAAUGGUUUAAAAACUCAAAUUUCAAAUGGGGAACUGCUUUGGAAUAGAAGAUAAAGAUUUAAUCUUGGAAAUGUCAGAUCAGUUGGUUUAAUAAAUGUAAGUCUCUUAAAGAAGGUUUUCUUUCAAAAAUAGAGAGAACCUUCAAUAGCUGUUCCUUACUAAAAGUAGUUUCUGUUUUGAUGAACCCUUGCUUUUUUCUGACAACUAAAAUAUUUUGUCAAAAACAUCCAAUGUCUCGAAGCCACAAGCACUUGUGUUCACAAACACCUCAGAUACACAGUCAGUAUGUCACAGAAGAGAAGAGAAUAAGCUAGUAGGUCACUGCCCCUUGGACAAUUUUUUUGGCCAGUGGCUACUAUUGUAGAAACAUUCAGGGUAGUUGUCAAAGAGAGACAAGGGAGCAUAAUUUCCCAGUUCUUUUUCUUCCUCUUCACAUUUGCACAGCAUGAAAAAUGAUACCAAGGAGGUUUUAUUAUUUCUUUCCCUUCCACUUUAAAAAAGUUUCUUUCCCUAAUAUUUACCUUUUCAUUCCUCCCCAAAUUUCUUUGUUGCCCUCUCUCUACUGGUUGGUAUUUCAGUAUAUCUCAAAAAAUUUAGUUCUAGCUAUUUCAUUAGGACAAUGGCAGUGGUGAAGUUAGAUGCAAGUAAUGACAUCAUGUAGGUACAUCACAAAAGUACUGCUCAUUAAUUUUUAGAAGAUUUCCCAUGAGGUAAUGGCAUGAGUAAGCAUGGAGGCUGUACAGCACAGACAUAAUGGAACAGGUAAUUUGAGCAGAGAUAACCAUGAUUUGUUUUGUGUCUCUUGCCUUUGACCAGUGCUCUGAUCAUACCAAGUCUUUUUUUUUCUCAGCAGUGCUGAUUGCAAAAACGGUAAAAUUGUAGGGAUACAUUUCCAUAUCUGCACAUCCCUGGAAGAAAUUGUAAGGACUAAGCCAAGAAAAUUAGUUACUUUUAGGUACCUGCCAGACAGUGAGUGCACAAAGUCAAAUUUGGUCUGCAGAUAACUUUUAACAACAUUGGUCGAGGUGACUUGUUUGUUCCUCAUUUGGUAGGAGCUGGUCUGGAUAUAUGAAAAUUCUUUGUUGUUAGAAGAAUUCUUUUCUUCUAAUCAGAAAUGCCCCCUUAAUCUAAUAAUGCAACACAGGCAAUAUACUCUGUGUAUCGGUCAGGUCUUUUCCUCUUUCCUUUCAACUGCCUUUUACCUUGCUGGGUUUAAAUGGAACCAGUCUCCUCUGAGACCACCUCUACUUUGGGCUCCUUGAAGGCAGGGAAACAAAAUGCAAGGUCUUGCAUUCACAUCAGGUUGGUAUUGGUCUUCUUGAUCCCUCACCUUUCACCUUCCUACAACACAAUAAUAAAAUAUAGUAGCUAUUUCUUUCACGGUAGAACUUCCAUGACAUUGGUUGUAAGCCUAAAUAGCAGAGUCACUAUGCAGACAUGUACUUUACCUAUUCAUGUACAUCUCAGUAUUGAUUACUUCAUUAUAUCACAACAUUAAUUUUUUUUUUUUGAUGUAAAGCACAUUCUUCUACUUAUUUCCAGAACCCUGCCGUGUUACUUGGGUUCUAGAGUGAGUCACCUGUCUGUAAUUUAAAUUUUAAACCUGUCAUCAGACAGCUGUUUAGCAAUACCUUUUGCAGAUAUCUUUCUGCCUCCCUCUCAUCUGCCUUUAAUCCACUGAGUGGGUGUUUGCCUUUGAUUGUAAGAAAGUUCCCAGAUGUAUCACCUUUCAUUUCCAAAUACCUGGAAGGUAACUUCCAGUCAUCUGACCAUUUUAUCCAUCCAGACCAAACUUAAGGCAAGGUCUAGAAAAGGAGAUUCUGCAGUGUUCCCAAUGAUAAUAAGAUUUUUUGGCCAUUUAUUGACCUAGUAAUAUUGCAUAAGAAAUUUUACAAGGGAUUUUCCUUUUAGUUUGUGUGGAUGAAAUUGUCAGGUUGGGAAACUAUAAACUAAAGAAAAUGGGAGAGUUUACUUCAGUGUUUGAGCUAAGAAAGAAAUCCUCAGUUCCUUGAGGAAUUGGCAGUAAGUCAAAUUGCUUAAGAAUUUGCUUAACCUGACUUUUUCCACAUUAAUAAUAAAUCAUACUUGUAUUGGUUAGUUGAACAUUAUUUUGUGAUUAGAACUUUUGGCAUAUAAUGAAUGGAAGAAAGGAGGGAAAUGACCACACAGAAAUGCAAUAGUGUGUGAGUAUACAGUAGCACUAAACACUUUAGGCUAAAUGUGUCUGGGUUUGCAUUCAUGUCCUUGGACAUGAGCACAUUCUGGUUAAAAUGAUCCUAUUUACCUAAACUGAAUGGAAGUCAAUAAUAUUAAUUGAACACAUAUGGAGUUUUGUUAUAUGAGCUAGUGAAAAAAAGGAAAGAUAAAAAGGGCUUUGAAAAUAAUGUAGAGUGAUUCUAAAUAUUUUUCUCAUUCAACAACAAAUAUAAUUAUUGAGUUCUCUCAUCAAAUUUAACUGAGCCCCCUCAUGAUCAUGGGUACUGUGGAGCUGUACUUAUGAUGCAGAGACUCCUGUUCAGCUCUCAGCCACCUUUUUGCAGCAUUGUAGAGCUUGUUUUAUGCCACAGUGAGACCAAAUGUGACAGAAAAACUUUAUUGUGGCAACUGCAUCUGCCAACAGGUGGUUCAUGAUUCAAAUACUUAACAUCCUUGUAUUUAAAACCAAAACAGUUUACAAAGAGAAGAAGGGAAGAGCAAAAAAUUGGUGAACAUGCCAUUCAGCCUUCUGCUAAAGUCUGAGUGUUGGGAUUUGUUCAUCUCCAGUUGCUGUGCAAUACUUUCUUCAGACUGGUAGACAAGGUGUUUUCUUCAUGCUGUUGGGUCUGAAUCCCAGGAGGGAAUGUGACUGUGUAAAAAGUCUGAUCAGUAAAGCAAAACUCCUGUUGAACCUGAAAGAACAAAGCCAUGGGUAUCUGAGGCACAAGAGAAAGCAAGGGGCUCUUUGAACCUAGGCACAAGACAGCAUAUGUAAGGAAUCGCACACUCAUGAAUUUUGGACUUUUGUACUUUGUCCUGACACUGGAAUAAUUUACUAGCCAGAAUCAAGGUUCACCCCCUCACUUCAUGGUGAGCAACUCUGUGCCAUUCCUGGUGCCCAUAUGGUGAGGGGAAACUUUCUCCUCUCCUCAUGGAACCGACAUCUACUCCCUUGUGGUCUCAGAGUCUGCAUCCCUUUGCUGUUUCCUUGCCCUUGCCCUCUGUCCUGAGGGAGCAUAAGCUCUCCUUCUCUGCUCCACAAACAGCCCACCCCUUGUCCCCUCACAGUAGAAGUGGGGUCUAUUCUGCCACGGGCAUUUAAAAGGAGAACUGGCUCAUGUCAGUGUGGCAGAGAGCAUGUUAAACUUGGUUGCUCCCACUGUCUGUGUUUAGGAGCAAGGCCAGCACAAGGGACAGCAGGCAAAGGAGCAGUCCCCAUGGUUGCACCAGGAGGAGCAGGACACAUGCAGGUGAUCCCAGAGACAACUGUGCUGAGCAGAUGGCAGCACUCCUUUUCUCAGAGAAGCACUGACUGGUGAGAAAAGCUACAUGGAAAAUUAUGCAAAGAGGUAGAGCGGCACUUUUGCAAAUAAAAUUGUGGGCAAGAUGUUGUGAUUUGCAUUGGCCCUGGGCUGCACUGUAGGCACUGUCUCACAUUUUCUCAUGAAAGUAAUAAAUCUAAGGAAUUCUGCAGUGGCACUUACCUUAUCAUGAAAAUGAUAGAACAAAUCCUAAAUAAAUGCCAUCCUCUCUUUCUCUCUUUCUAUAUCUACUGUGUAAAAAACAUCAAAAUGUGGUCUACAGACUGCUUUCCAAAAAUAUAAAUAAAAACCACACUCGGGCUUCAGUUUUUAA